CGGGCACCUUUUACCUUAUGCAUCCGGUAGCUAGGGGUCAUAUUCUACUCAUCAUGUGGAACUGGCCCCAGCUGUCCAAACCUUUGUGACCUCACAUUAGACAACUGAAAUCUAAUCCACUUGAAAGUACCCUGAAGACCACCCAGGUGUUUCAUAUGGCUGCUGUCUUCCUACUAAAUAGGUCCAUUACACAAGCUGGAGCACAUUUUACCAGCAGACUAAUUCACCCAGUGGCAUAGCAAGGCAAUGAUCCACGGACCAUUAUUGACUUUUCUGUGUAACUCCUGGCAUUGUGUAACAUGCAUCAAAAUUCAAAGGCUGCAGGUACUAAAGUACAAGCUGAAAAAAGCUUACAUGAAUAAGAUAAGGACACUACACUGGAUGAGCUCCCAGCCCACAGGACAGAAGACUCACAGGACCAGUGUUCAAGUCAAUACUCCAUAUGAUUGAGCUGUGAAACCCAGGACUAAAUUACACCAAGAUAAACAAGACCUGAUCAGUAUCUUCCAGGAACUGUUUGCAUCUUGCUGACAAGAAAGACGUGUACACAUGCCAGUUAACGUGAGGUGCAAAAUAAAAGCCAUUUUAUUUCUCCAGGCGAUCUUCUCGACCCAGGAAUCAAACCCAGGUCUCCUGCAUUGUAGGCAGAUUCCUUAGUGUCUGAGCCACCAGGGGAGCCGAAAAUAAAAGCACGUUCAUGGGAUGCACAGAAUGUGACCUGUGCAGUCUGUAGUGGAGGCCUACAUACAUAAAGGCCCUAAGACACCUAUUUGCAGGGCGGUCAUAGAGAUGCAGACAUAGAGAACAGACUUAUGGACACAGUGUGGGAGGGAGAGGGUGGGAAGGAUUGAGAGAGUAGCGUGAAAACACAUAUAUUACCAUAUGUAAAACAGAUAGCUCAGACAGCUAGUGGCGACUUGCCGUGUGACACAGGGCAUUCAACUCAGUGCUCUGUGACAACUCAGAGGGGUGCAGUGGAGUGAGAGAUGGGAGGGAGGUUCAGGAGGGAGGGGACACAUGUAUACCUGCGACUGAUUCAUGUUGAUGUAUGGCAGAAACCAGCACAAUAUUGUAGAGCAAAUAUCUUGCAAUAAAACAUUUUUAAAAAGUCUCUAACACGAGAGCACUCCAUCAGUCUCAAAUGUACUCAAAUUCCACUUCUUUACAGACGUCUUCUCUGACUCUCUAAUUAAAUUGGAGACUCUGAAUACUAUGCCCUUUGCAGCACUUCUCAGAGUUUCAAGUUAGGUGUUUGUGAACUGCCCGUCUCCUCCACUAGAUGACAAGCUGUGUGAGGGCAGGGCUGUGUGUUCCCAGCUCCCUACUGCAUUCUCUACAGCUAUCACGGUGUGUGGCACAGAGGAGAUGCCCCAGAAAUAUUUGUUAGGCAAGUCAUUUUUUUAAAAACCAAGGUGACUCUGGCCACAUUUGAUUAGAACAUGCUAAAUAUCCUGACAGGAAAACUUGAUGGCCGAAGCUUAGCGGGAGAUGUUGAUGAACAAUAUUACUCAGGCACUUUCUCCUCUGUCUGCAGAGUGGGGCAUCCCAGUAGUAAGUUAGAUAUCACUCCCUUUGUUGCAGCCAUCCCUUCGUGCUCUGUACCUGAGAACUACAGAUAAGAAGGUAGUUCUACCCCGUGGACUUCAAUAACCAUAC
rnacentral:lncRNA from 1 species